UGAAGACAAGACCUGAUCUCUUCAUUUCCAGUUCAAGAUCAAACUUUAUUAACUAUUCAACAAUGUGGUGUCAAUGGACAGGAUGUUGCACGUCAAGUAUUCCGGAGACGAUGGAUGGGCACAGAGACGGCAAUACGUUUAAACAGAGGGGUCCUACCUUCAUGUCUGAUGAGUGAGUAGGCCACAACGGGGAAUGAUAAAUCGAAGAAGUUGAAGUCUUGUGAAUGAAGUUCAGAUCACCUGAAUUCAGACCACAUCCACCAAGGGAAGUGGAGGAAGUCAGCCAGACGUUGUUGGAGGCUAGACGAAGAAAGACAACAAAGAAUAAAACCAUGCAAAAAAUCA